UACGUAGGGUGCGAGCGUUAAUCGGAAUUACUGGGCGUAAAGCGUGCGCAGGCGGUUCUCCAAGUCCGUUGUGAAAGCCCCGGGCUCAACCUGGGAAUGGCAGUGGAAACUAGGGGACUGGAAUCUGGCAAAGGGGGGUGGAAUGCCGCGUGUAGCAGUGAAAUGCGUAGAGAUGCGGCGGAACACCGAUGGCGAAGGCAGCCCCCUGGGCUGAGAUUGACGCUCAGGCACGAAAGCGUGGGGAGCAAACAGG
rnacentral:rRNA from 1 species